CCCCAUAAGAAACAGAUAAAUUGUUUGUCUAAUCUAGUAUCUUGUUUCUCACAAUGUCCAACCAGAUUUCUCUUGAGCAGCCCAUGAGCACAACACAAGGGUGUCAGAUCUCACUCAGCACUCCUAUUUGUGAGCACCCAAUAUCUGACCAUGGAGGAAGCAUAUACAGUAUUUGCCAUUCCUCCCAUUAAUUAUUUACUGAUUAGACAUUGUGGAUUAUCUGCCAUCAGUCUCUAUGAUAGUCCUUAUUUUGGCUUUUUGUGAGUACCUUGUUGUGUUUUUAGGGUGGAUUCCUUCCAGUGUUUUUUGGGAAUUGGGUCUCUCCUUCAGUUUCUAGAAAUCUUGGAAUGGGGAAUAGAUGUGUGAUCUCUACUGUCAAUGCUGGCAAAUGCACAUCAAGGAAACAUACAGUAUAGUGUACAGUUCCUAAUUUUACUCUUUCACACAGUGUUGCUAAAGUAUUGGUAAACAAUUCUCAGAUGAUUCUGUUUUUCUUGUAGCAGAGCUUGGAAAAGUUACUUUUAUGGGACUACAACUCAGAAUCCCCAGCCAGCAUGGUAGUCUUGGACCAAGAGAACACACACCCUUAUGACUUUUAAACUUAUGGAAGAUGUGGAACCUGAAAGGAGGAGGGUGAAAAUGGAGAAUUGCAUUUUCCCCCUCUUUAUCCUGGAAGAAGGCAAUGUAUUUUCUUGUGCUAUCAAAUUGGCAGUUGCAUUUGUACAAACUGCCCAACUUGUGCAAAUUGCACAUCUUGCACAAAUUAUGUUCCCUGAUUUGUGGAAAUUAUUAAAAACUGCAAUUGCUGCCUUGUAUAGUCGGCAUUUAAGGAUGGGAAGCAUUGGGUGGGUUGUUCCCAUUUUUUUAAAAAAAAACUCAAUAUGCCAGUCCUGUGAACGUUCUCUCUCUCUCUCUCUGUGUGAGUGUGUGCUUUAAAAAAAAAACACACACAAUAUGUCAGUCCUGUGAACAUUCUCUCUCAGUGUGUGAGUGUGUGAUCUGCUUGUUAAGGGGAAAGGAUGCUACAUUUAGGCAGACUCACCCAGUGACAUUGUGAUUUGCUUGUUAAGGUGAAAGGAUGCUAGAUUUAGGCAGACUCACCCAGUGACAUUGUGCAGAAUCUGAAGAAAUCCUGAUGGGGGAAAAAACCAAAAACAUCUCUUUGUUUCACUCUUACCAUGGAGGCAAAGAUUCUCACAGUGCCUGGGAAAUUGUUGAGGAGUUGCCCUCUAGAGUCGAGAGCGCCCAAAACUGUGAGAAUAUGUCCCUAUUAUAGAGCUGGCCAGUAAAAAAAAAAAAAUAAACCAUGGUGAUCAGAGGAUGAGAAAAUGAGU
rnacentral:lncRNA from 1 species